rnacentral:lncRNA from 12 species
CUCCAAUUAAAAAAAUAUGUAAAAGCAAUUAAAUGUUUUUCUAGAAAAAAAAAGAAAUAACAUGAAUAAACCUUAUUAUCUAUUAAAGAAAAAAAAAAUAAAGCAGGAAGCAGUUCUGGAGAGGGUUUGCUGCUGAAAGCUGCCCUCCUGGGGGUUCACAACGGGAUCCUGUCUCAGUAACUGCCCUGUCCUGGUCUUUCCUGACCUUGAAAUCAUCACUUACACAUGAUUUACGCACUUGGUUCAAGAAGUGGUUUCGCUUUACAUUGAAGUUUUUGUAGUUCUGAAUGGUAGUUUUGUGCAGUUAUAAUUCUCUGAAUUUUUUUUCAUGAUUUUUGCUUGUUUUUCAGUAGAGAUUUCCUUUGUGGCCACUGGUCUAAAAAAUGCCUUAAGAAUACUAAACCACUGUUAGUCAUCCUGUUUUCUGCGAGCGUCAGAAGGUCCUGAGAUGUGAGUGGCUCCACCAACACGGCAAUUUACCUCCCCGUGGAAGGAAAGAGCUCUGAGGAGAGGCAGCUGACCACUUGCACAGUGUCCCCAGGGGCCUGGCCCCCACCCACCUCCCUGCGCCACUGCCUGUGGCUUCCACAUUCAGGAGCGCUUCAUGGGCCAGCCCAGAUAUGGAGCUCCAGCCAUCACAUCCACCUUCUAGGACCCCAGCAGAAGGAAGCAACGGAGCAGAGAAGGACAGCGAGCCUGCUCCCUCUCUUGCAAGAACCUCUGUGUCCCCCGCUGAGUGACCACUCCCCGGAUGGAGCUCAAUCACUGGGCACUCGCAGCUGCCACGGGGCUCAGGAAAUCGAUGUCGCCCAGUCGGAUCUGUGUUCAGUUUUCCAGGAGGAUCGUGAUAUCAUCCACAAACAAUAACUAUUGCCUCUCCUUCUGGAAUUAAACUCAUCCAGUUAUGGCUUCUGUGUUUACUUUCGUUCCCUGGCGUGUUUUGGAGCGGUGGCGACAGGAAGCCUCUGCCACGGAGGGUCACAAGGCGGACACAGUGCCUGCAGCCUGCUCUGGGUUGUGGCUGCUUUAGGCAGACGACAUGGAAUGGCAGAGGGACCCUGACCCCUGACUCCUGGGUUUUCCUCUACAACAGCUCCUGCCUCUGCUGCCUCCCUGGCUUCAGACCCCAGAGACGGUGACCUUGCUCUAGUUUUAGGUGGAAACAGAGGUUUCUGAUGCUGACAGUUCCCACUGGCCAUUUGGACAGUCUUUCCCUCGUGCUUCAACCACCGGCACAAUGUCCAGACUUGCUCCCAUCCCUUGACGAAACAUUCUAGAGACUGCCUAAGUGUCAAUCGAUAAGAAGAUCUUUGUGCUUUCAAGCUGGC